UAGGGAAUAUUGCACAAUGGGCGAAAGCCUGAUGCAGCAACGCCGCGUGCGCGAUGAAGGCCUUCGGGUUGUAAAGCGCUUUUCGGGGAGACGAGGAAGGACGGUAUCCCCGGAAUAAGGAUCGGCUAACUACGUGCCAGCAGCCGCGGUAAAACGUAGGAUCCGAGCGUUAUCCGAAUUCACUGGGCGUAAAGCGCGAGCAGGCGGUACGAUAAGUUGGGUGUAAAAUCUCCUGGCUCAACUGGGAGAGGACGUUCAAUACUGUCGAACUAGAGGGCGGUAGAGGGAGGUGGAAUUCCCGGUGUAGUGGUGAAAUGCGUAGAUAUCGGGAGGAACACCAGUGGCGAAAGCGGCCUCCUGGACCGUGCCUGACGCUGAGAUGCGAAAGCUAGGGGAGCGAAC
rnacentral:rRNA from 1 species